AAACUGUCAUGUGGUACUUACGAUGAUAACUUAACUCACACUUGUCUUAAAAUAACAUAACUUGAAUCUAUCAAUUUGAAUUUCUGCUCUUGUAUUUCAUUUGGUUGAAAUUGUGAAAUCUGAAGAGUAUUAUUACCAAAUCAUACCGAGGAAUUUCAGAAUAAAAAUUGAUAGGUUUGGCCUCCUCUAAAGAAAAGUUUUAAAUAUUUUAUAUUUGAAAUUGAAUUGAAAGAAGUAGGUAGCCAAGUUUUCGCCAAUGUGUUCCAGGGUUCGAUGGAGAAAAAAAUGAUUUAGUUCUUCGAAAUUGUUUUCACUCCAUUAUUGACCCACUCGCGUACUGUAUGGAAUUUUAAAACAUCAAACAAUCUUCAAUAUCACUACCACAAGAUUUUUAGGACUUAUGCAACUCGACUCAAAUGGUGAUUGACAGUAAUGUGGAAACGCUGCAUCAGCUCCUCCCAAUAAAAUGCCCGUAAAAUGCAUCGACAACCAGCAACAAAAGAAAGCUUAUUAAUGCUAAAAAUUCUGAAUAUUUCCCGGGUGAUGGGACGAGCAUUUCGAAGACAAGUUAUUUACUAUUUCGUUUCUUUCAACAAUGGAGCGAAUAAGGAGUCAACACAAUAAUUUUCAUCCAUUUCUUGCGGUUUUACGGCAGACAACAACAAAAGAAAAACCAAAGGGUGUCCGUUCUUCUUUCCCGCCACCAGUAAGACCUUCUGAUUGUGGUUUUUCAGCAGCGACCGGAAGCUUUGGAGCCUCAGCGGAAGUCGCCUUGGACGAAGAUAUUUCCGGUACCGUGGACGGUUUACCUAAAGCCUCUGCUGGUCUGGCUACAGAGUUUUGGGCAACAGCCGGUACAAUUUUUGGUGGUAUUGGUACCGGUCCGUUCGAUCUGGCCGGAAAAAUACUCUUGGAAGUUGCAGGGCUUUUUUGUGGAGAGGAUGAUCCCUGACUGACUGGAGUAACUGAUUCAGAUGUUGCUGUUAUCGGAGAUGGUUUAACAGGAGCUGCCGAUUUGUCUUCAGAUGCUGGGCUAACAUGUUCCGUUUUGGGGGAAGCGGGAGCCACUUUAGGUCUGGGAGGAGCCGGAAUCGUUUUCUUAGUAGGAACUAGUCUGGCAGCCGGGGCUGGUUUUACAAGAAUCUUUUUGGGAUCUGGUAUUGAUGGUAAAUUUGCCGGUGGUGGCGUAGGUGAAUCAUUACUUUUUUUCAUUUUUGAUAAGUAAUACUCUUUAGAAUUUUAUGUUUUCUUCAUCAUAUAUAGAGGAGAA